rnacentral:rRNA from 1 species
CCUACGUGUGGCAGCAGUGAGGAAUAUUGGUCAAUGGGCGCGAGCCUGAACCAGCCAAGUAGCGUGAAGGAUGACUGCCCUACGGGUUGUAAACUUCUUUUAUAAAGGAAUAAAGUGAGGCACGUGUGCCUUUUUAUAUUUACUUUAUGAAUAAGGAUCGGCUAACUCCGUGCCAGCAGCCGCGGUAAGACGGAGGAUCCGAGCGUUAUCCGGAUUUAUGGGGUUUAAAGGGAGCGUAGAUGGGUUGUUGAGUCAGUUGUGAAAGUUUGCGGCGUAAACGUAAAAUUGAAAUUGAUACUGGAAGCCUUGAGUACAGUUGAGGUAGGCGGAAUUCGUGGUGUAGCGGUGAAAUGCUUAGAUAUCACGAAGAACUCCGAUUGCGAAGGCAGCCUACUAAACUGCCACUGACAUUGAUGCUCGAAAGUGUGGGUAUCAAACAGGAUUAGAUACACCUGUAGUC